UAAGGAUGCAGUAAACAUGUUAAUCUCCAUCUGUGCAGGCGCAGUGAGAACUCGUAGAAGCGCUUCAGCUUGGCCACCAGGGGGCAGACUGCGUUCCAGGCCUUCUCCUGCAGAGCCAGGUCACCUGGGUUCUGAAUGGCCUACAGGUGGAUGUUUGGACUGAAGCUCGGCCAGAAUCCCGUGGGCCUCCUCCAGUACGGCGCUGACCUGGUUCCACACGGCUGUCUCGGCCUCGGUGGGCUGGGCGUCUGAGACGAGAUGAAGGAAAGGAGGACCGGGAGGAAGCGAACAUGUGAAGUAAAGAGUGGGAAGGGAGAAGUAAAAAAAACAAAACAAAAAAAAAACAAAACAAAAAAAGAUUUGUGUGAAUAGAAAAACAUGAAAGGGUGAUAUCCCCUAAAGAGCAAGAUAAAAGCCUUAUUUGUCAAGACUUUACAGCAUUCAUACAUACUGUAUAUCAAAACACACCUAAUUAGUAUUUUACCCUGACAAGUGCAUUAAAAAUCCAAUUAUCAUGCUCAGUCAUUCUAAUGUGAGAGGGAAUUAUUUCCUUUCUGCAACCAAUGCAGGAUGCAUUGAGAUGAAUGGAAACAAUUCACUAGUUAUUGUGUAAGUCCACUUUGAAUGCUUAAAACCGUACAAAUUACAUUUGUGGUACUAAAGCUGGCCUUUUUUCCGAAUGCUUUAUGAAUCAGAUGUGAAAUAGUUUCUUCUUGCACUUGUAUUUAAAAAAACAAAAAAAGUUAACCGUCAGAUCAUAUUUUUAUGGUAAUAAGAGAGAUAAGUGUAAUUUAAAUUUUCUUUAUAUUAUUAUUUAUUUGAUGUAUUGUUUUACUAUGUGAGUAUAUAUACAAUUUAUAUUGUAUAUUUAUGUAUUAUUUAUAUAUUUUUCAAUAUACA